UACGAAGGGGGCUAGCGUUGCUCGGAAUUACUGGGCGUAAAGGGCGCGUAGGCGGCACUGUUAGUCAGGCGUGAAAUCCCCAGGCUUAACCUGGGAAGUGCCGCGGAAAACUGGCGAGCUUGAGUGCCGGAGAGGGUCGCGGAAUUCCCGGUGUAGAGGUGAAAUUCGUAGAUAUCGGGAGGAACACCAGUGGCGAAGGCGGCGACCUGGACGGACACUGACGCUGAGACGCGAAAGCGUGGGGAGCAAACAGGAUUAGAA
rnacentral:rRNA from 1 species